GGAAUCUUGGGCAAUGGGCGCAAGCCUGACCCAGCCAUGCCGCGUGUGUGAAGAAGGCCUUCGGGUUGUAAAGCACUUUCAGUGGUGAAGAAAAGUCUGGGGCUAAUACCUCCGGAUCUUGGCGUUAUCCACAGAAGAAGCACCGGCUAACUCCGUGCCAGCAGCCGCGGUGAUACGGAGGGUGCGAACGUUAAUCGGAAUUACUGGGCGUAAAGCGCGCGUAGGCGGUUUGAUAAGUGGGAUGUGAAAGCCCCGGGCUUAACCUGGGAACUGCAUUCCAAACUGUCAGGCUAGAGUAUGGUAGAGGGAGGUGGAAUUUCCUGUGUAGCGGUGAAAUGCGUAGAUAUAGGAAGGAACACCAGUGGCGAAGGCGGCCUCCUGGACCAAUACUGACGCUGAGGUGCGAAAGCGUGGGGAGCAAAC
rnacentral:rRNA from 1 species